AUGUCACUCUCAGGAGGGGAAGCCCCUUGCGUUAGCAGUUAGCAUGCUAAUGUUUACGGUGGAUGUAUAUAUGUAUCGCUGUGGCUCGCGGAGAUUUUUUCCUUCAACCGAACCAGUUUGACCCAGAACCGGACCCAGAAGGAGAAGCUGCUGAAGAAGUCCAGACUCUGUGGCUGCAGCAGGACGUUUCAGAAUGCAAGCGUGGUUUGGACUACAGAGAGAGGUAGAGAGACACAGACAAUAAAUCAGGACGAGAGAGAGAGAGAGAGAGCAGGAAACCAGACCAAACAUGGGCACAGGUGACGCACAGAGGAUACCCAGUUUCCAUAGCAACAGGCAGGUGCAAGACACUGGGAGCUAAUCUGGCUUUUCGAUCUGCUGAGGUGAAACAUUUGCAUGCACAUCACAGUGAGAACGGGGCAGCCUGACCUCGCCUGUUUGUCACCCUGCUUCAAAUACAGUUUCACCCACGUUCUCCACGGCAGCGGCCCGACCGGCGCUGACAUUUAAAGAUAAAGGUGCUCGUCCUCGUAAUCCCCAAACCAAACCAGCACAACGAAUCCAGUGACGGGGGGACGUAACCACAGAUGCCAGCCGUUGCAGAAGCUCCAACAUGAGUCCAGUGAGCGUGCCGAUAUCUAUUAAAAGCUGCUGCUGACGUCAAAAGUGUCCGCCAUCUUUGACUAGAGCUGCACUGCUUUAC